AUUGAACGCUGGCGGCAUGCCUUACACAUGCAAGUCGAACGGUAACAGGUCUUCGGAUGCUGACGAGUGGCGAACGGGUGAGUAAUACAUCGGAACGUGCCCAGACGUGGGGGAUAACGAGGCGAAAGCUUUGCUAAUACCGCAUACGAUCUAAGGAUGAAAGCAGGGGACCGCAAGGCCUUGCGCGUUUGGAGCGGCCGAUGGCAGAUUAGGUAGUUGGUGGGAUAAAAGCUUACCAAGCCGACGAUCUGUAGCUGGUCUGAGAGGACGACCAGCCACACUGGGACUGAGACACGGCCCAGACUCCUACGGGAGGCAGCAGUGGGGAAUUUUGGACAAUGGGCGAAAGCCUGAUCCAGCAAUGCCGCGUGCAGGAUGGAGGCCUUCGGGUUGUAAACUGCUUUUGUACGGAACGAAAAGGCUCUGGCUAAUACCUGGGGCACAUGACGGUACCGUAAGAAUAAGCACCGGCUAACUACGUG
rnacentral:rRNA from 1 species